GGUUGAUCCUGCCAGUAGUGAUAUGCUUGUUUCAAAGAUUAAGCCAUGCAUGUCUAAGUAUAAGCGAACUUAUACAGUGAAACUGCAGAUGGCUCAUUAAAACAGUUUGAAUUUAUUUGAUGGAUGUACGAGAGUACUACAUGGAUAUCCGUAGUAAUUCUAGAGCUAAUACAUGCAACAACGCCCGACCGCUUGCGGAAGGGUUGUAUUUAUUGGAUACAAAAACCAAACCUGGCAACAGGUUUUCUUUGCUGAUUCACAAUAACUGAUCGGAUCGCGGCCCCGGCUGCGAU
rnacentral:rRNA from 1 species